AUCUGUAUCUAAAUAAAACUCAAGCAUGGAAAUGAUGAAUAGUUGCUCUGCCUAAUUUGCAUAUUUGAAGUUUCCUCUCAAGUUUAGACAUAAUUGUUAUAAUUUAAAGCUUGCUCUAGAUCUAAACUUAUGGGAUGAAAACUUGAUCUGAAAUCUAAGUUGUUAACGGAUAUGAUAUGGGAAGGUUGAGCUGCUGUUUAUCUGUUUCUAGAGAUGCUAGAAUUCUGGAGAAUUUUAUCUUUGAAAAUCUUUAAAAUGUUGCAUGAUGAGUUCCUGUAUGAUGAGAGUUUAAAUUCCUACCACAGCCAUAUAUACAUGCUUGCUAGACUUCGAGCCACACAUUUACUUUUUACUGCUUAUGAGCAUUGAGUGUGGUCAAGCUGUGUAGACCCUUAGGAGCUUGUCAUGUGGUUAAAUCAAGAUUCACUUGCACGUUCACUCACACAUGCUACUUCUACUCCGGAAGUACCAUCCACAUAUAUCCAUACAUUUCCAUCUUCAGAAUCACCCAAAAAUAUUCUACUCCUAAUCCGGGAGAGAAUAGCCAAAAAUAAUUUUGUUCGUCCUUGUGUAAUAAAUGCCUCAAGAUCAAUAAAGAGUAUUAUUAUUAUGUCUUGUGUGUCUCUACUUUAUUUUUGUGCAAGAAAGCAGAAAACAAGUAUGGGGGAGAUCCCUCGACAUGCUAAACACACUCCGACUACACCACUCCACGAUUCAGGUACACACUCUGCACACUUUACUCUACACAUAUAUAUAUAUUAGAUUAUGUAGAAUAUUGUUCCCGACAUGAUAAAAUAAAAAGAUUAAAAUAUUUCUAAUCAUGAUUAAUCUCAAUCUGUGAUAUUUCCUGAAAACUUGCAAUUAGUAUAAAAUCAUUUUUUAAAACCCUGUGUUACUUAAGUCAAGAUGGAAUAUGUGAUGGUAGAGUAUGAGUUUCUUAUUCUUGAUAUCAUUGUUGCUUGGAGAAUUUAUUUCAAAAUGUUCAAAUUUCUAGCUACCAUCCUCAGUGUUUUAUAUGCCUGAUAAAACUGAAAUAUUAAAUAUGAUUAUAAAAGCUAUCUGCUCUGUAUUGAGUUUGUUCAAAAUGAGUUAGACCCUUGUUGAGAGAUUUAUCAUGCUCCUAAGAUCAAGACAUUAUUUCAGUAAGAUUCACUCUUCCGAAGUAUUAUUGCAUUAGAGGCAUGGGCUAUGCAAAAAUAGAAGAUAUUUCGAGGAAAUAAAAAGGAGCAAGUGCUCGACAACCUCGCAGAAAAAAUGGACAAGUGUCCGGCAGUAGAAUUAGGGGUACCUCGGUAUCCACUUAAAAAAAAGAGAAAAAAAAUGAUAGCCCAUGGUCCCUCUAAUAAGCAAUAUGCCAGCAAGAGUUGACAAAGUUUUUAAUUUCCAAAGUCUUUGAUCUUAGAGUAUUACAUUUGCCUCCUCGGAUCCUGUUUUGAUCAGGCAAUAAAUCCAAAGUAAGUAUGCUUGAGAAUUUUUGCAAAAUAAAACAGCCUCAGUGAGAUAUAUAUAUAAAAGAUAAUGAGUGAUCUGAGAGAACCUAUGAGGAUCAAAAAGGUAUGCUAACUUUCUUUCAAAAAUAUACAAAAACUCCAAGUGACAGGAUUGAAAAGAAAGAAUCUUUACACUUAACCAUACACAUCCCUGACUAUGGUACACAGUGGAAUUUUUAACACCCUGCAAUUAUAAAGAGAAUGUUUUAAAUGUUUACCCCAGAUAUUAUUCUUAACCAUCCUUUUCUCGAGGACGAGUAAAAGCCUAAGUAUGGGGGUAUUUGUUGACGGUUCUUAAGUAUCAAUUUUAAUUAUCAAAUAAACAUGAGAAAGGACCAAUAUGCAACCAUCACCUAGAAUUAGGGUUUGAUCUGACAGAAUUCCACGAGUUUUGUUGUUUAUCUAUUUCUACAGGGGGUUAUCAGGAAAUAAGGAAGAAAGGCCCACAUGUCGGGAUUACAUAGAGAUAUCAACGCACCGCGUAAUUUUACAUCAUCUAGAAGACUCCAGAAGCCACGAGACUGAAGCGGAGGCGAAGCUGGGCCAGGCCCAGGGCGCCCGCCCUGGUAGCCUGGGCGCCCGCCCCCCUGCUGGAGUCAAUUCAGGACUCCUUCGCUCGGGAUAUUCCACCGACCUAUUGGAUCAAGAAAAACAUAGUACCACCUCGGCUAUCGACCCAAAAACGCAUAGAAGGGGAGGACUAUAUAAGCGAGGCCCCCCUGGCCCCUGGAAGACAUGAAGAAAUUAUCAUAGAGACUGAGGGGUGCCCUCGAAGGAAAACCUCUUCUCUAAUUAAUAUUUCUUUUUAGGCUUAGCAAUCAAUGUAAGGUAGAAAUAGAUCUUCUAGUUUCUACUAGAUUGAGAGAUAUAGAGUGGAGGUGU
rnacentral:lncRNA from 1 species